rnacentral:rRNA from 1 species
ACGGAGGGUGCGAGCGUUGUUCGGAAUCACUGGGCGUAAAGGGCGUGUAGGCGGUCCGCUAAGUCUGAUGUGAAAGCCCGGGGCUCACCCCCGGAAGGGCAUUGGACACUGACGGACUCGAGUCCCGGAGAGGAGAGUGGAAUUCCUGGUGUAGCGGUGAAAUGCGUAGAGAUCAGGAGGAACACCCGUGGCGAAGGCGGCUCUCUGGUCGACCUCUGACGCUGAGACGCGAAAGCGUGGGGAGCGAACGGGA